GGUGAAACCCCUGUCUGAAAAAAAAAAAAAAAAAAAUACAGUAAAAAUUAUUAUGGCCCCUGUCCAAGGAUGACACACAAAUUUGUAAAAUGUUUCAUAGUUUU
ensembl:snRNA U6 U6 spliceosomal RNA